UAUCUCUAACAUUCAUUCACUCUCUCUCUCCACUGUCUCUCUCUCUCUAAUUCAACACUCUCUCUCUGCGAUCAAUUCUGUGAAUUUGUGUUGUUUGCGGUUACAAGAAUGUUGAUACCACUUUCAAUUGUAGAUGAUGUUGCUAUCGUUGAUUUAGGUCAACAACAUCACCGCCACAACAUGUUACCUGUGUAUGUUCUCUUUGAUUCUCGUACCAUGUCUCACAACCACCACCCAACAAGAACACCACCUGGGUCUGUGAUCGAUCAACCUCUUCUCUUUGAUUCUCGUAUCACCAACAAUGUUCCAACAAGAUUAAUGUCUCACAACCACAACAGUGUUUCAUCAAGAUUAACUUCACCAACAGUGUCUGUGGUAGAUGAAACUGUUCUCUAUGACUUUCCUAUCGGCAAUGUUCCAAGAAGAUCAAGGAUUCAUCAUCAAACGGGUCAUCCCCACCACAACCACCACCACCACCACAAUGGUACUCGAGCUUCUCCGGCGGUGAUGGGUGUUCAAAAUACUAGAGCUUCUGGUGCUCAAGAUACUUGUCAACAUGUCACAACAUCAACAACAGAUGCUCAAUCCAUUUGUUGCAUUUGUCUUGUUAACUUGUCUAAUGGUUCUUCCAUGCCAAUUCGGCUGCGCUGCUCUCAUGAUUUUCAUACCGACUGCAUUCAAAAAUGGAUCAACAUUAAGAAAACUUGUCCACUUUGUCGCGCCAAUGUUUAAUUUUCAUAUAUAGAGUGUUGUUGAUUUAUAAAAAUGUUUCCUUUCUUUUGUUAUUUUCCAUGUUUUGGUUUGAUGAUUUUCCAUGUUUAGGUUUGAUUCCCUUGGAUUACCGGACAUUCCUUCAAGCCCUCUGAGGUAAGUUUUUGUUGGGUUGCUGUUACCUAUGAUACAUCAUGUGUGUUGGAGUUUUGUUUGUUAGUAUAGGUUCUACAUAAAACAUAUAUGCGCUCUGUCUUUGUGUGCAAACCUGUUUUUUUGUCUAUCUUUUCUUUUAUUCUUUGUGUCAAUGUGUUACACCGUAUAUGUAUGUGUUGUUUGUGAAUAUUUAGAACUAUGCUUUUGUCCUUGCAAAUGUCCAGUUUUAUAGUUGUGAACAGAUGCUGAAUAACGGUAGAUAUUCAUGUUAAAAUAUUAGUCUAUUAGGCUUUGUUUCGUUUUGUCUCUAUCAAUUGUUAUAUGCUUGUUUGGUUGGAUGGAUUAUGGAAUUAACAACUAUUUUGUGACAAUGGAGAAGGUGUGGGAUCUUAAUAUGGAUUAUAGCUUAUGGGUCACGUAAGCAUGCUUUUAUGAUUCUUACUAGUUAUGAUUCUGUGGUAAAUAUGAGAAGCAAUGAAGAUAAGAAAAGGUUGAAGAUUACAUUGUCUGGAUUUGUACUCAAGGUGACGAGUAUGUUAGGUUGUAUGGCAUUCAGAUGGAACUCAAAGAUAUUCAGAGAUGCAACUUGUUUGAAAUAAAAAGUUAAAAGUUUGUCAUUUCCUAACUAAUGGUUUUUUGUUUUCUGGUAAUGUUGCAAUGUUCAAGAUUAUUUAGUAUAAAUAAUGAGUAACUACUAAUUUUGAGCAAACAUUUCAUAUCGUUCAAUUCAAGUUGGUAGAAGUGAACUGCUUCAUAGAUCAACUCAAGUCUGGCCAACCAAGGUAUGCAACACAGAUGAUUUAAUUUCAUUUAUCUUUGCUUUUUGUUUCUUAUGAUUUCAUUUCAUAUUUGUUUUAUGUACCAGCUAUACUUCUUCACCCUCUUCAAGGGUUCAGGAUGGUUCUAAAUACCUUAAGUUAAAAAUUUGUAUUGUUUGUUGUGCAUGAAUAGAAGAAUCAUUGAGUCUAAGUUCUGAAAAUGGAGAAGAAUUAGUCAUGGUGUAACGGUUGUGAUCUAUCUCAAGUCAUAUAUGUACUAUUUACUUCUUGUUUUCUAUAUUUUUUUUCUUCUUAUAGUUUUAACAUCUCUUAAUUGUAUGUUUCUCGGUUGUACAGUCAUUAUAAUUGUUAUAAUGCUAAUUGCUAAUGCCUUGAAGCUUUUGUGACCUUUUCUCAUCAGCAACAGAUUUUGAAACACUCUCCAUGUCCUUGCAUCUUCUUGCAACAUACUCAAAUUCUACUCUCGUUUGGGUGACAGAUCUAAGUUUUCCCUUCCUGCUGGUCUUGAGCCUUUGUCUAAUAAACUAAGGUACCUACAUUGUAGUGCAUAUCCUUUGAAGUUUCUACCGUCAGCUCUUUCUCCUGAGAAACUUGUUGAGCCUUGCAUGCCAAACAGCCGUGUUCAAAGAUUAUGGGACGUAGUGUAGGUUUGUGGCUUGAAAUAUAUGAAACUAAUUUAUACAUUGUAUUAUAUGUGAUCAAAGUUUUUUUGGUUUGUUACAUGAUCUAAUUAAUUUAAAGAAAAUGGACCUUAGCUGUUGUGAGCACUUGAUAGAGCUUCCUGAUUUCUCCAUGGUAUCACAUCUCCAAUACAUUCACCUCUCUAGACGUGUAAGGUUGUGUCAUGUUCAUACAUCUACUUAGCACUCCAAAAUCUUGUCAAUUUAAACCGGGUUUGGUGCAACAAGCUCAAGAGUCUUAUAAGCAAUUCCCCUUCAAACUAUGCUAAUUCUCGAGCUCUAUGGCUGCUCAAGUCUCAAGGAAUUUUCUGUGAUAUCUACAAAAAUGACAGUUUGAUUUAAGAUGAUGUAUUGCUAUCAAUGAAUUGCGGCAGCCAUAAGUUGAGUACCUUGGAAGUCUUAUGGACUUGGAGUUGAGUAGCUAUGAUAGGCACCUUAGAUAUCUUCCAAAUGAGUUCUCAUGCUUGAAAUCUCUUGGCCAUCUGGUACUUUCUGAUUGCAUGCUACUUGACGACAUGUCAAAUCUACAUCUUUUAUUUGAUGGCCGGCGUUCGUUUGGAUACUUUUGUCUGGACAACAGUUGUAAUCUGACUGAACUACCUCACAACAUUAGUCUGUUAACAUUAUUAAAUUAUUUAUCACUCAGCGGAAUCAACGUGAAGAACAUUCCUAUAAGCAUCAAGCAUCUUUCACAGCUAGAAUCUCUUGGCUUGUGCAAAUGCGUGAGCAUUUAGUCUCUACCAGAACUCUCACCAUCUAUUCAAGUGUUGGAUGUCACCAACUACACAUCCUUGGAGACCGUCGUCAUCUUCGUGUUAUCAAUGAACUACUAGAAGAGCACAAGUCAUACAAUUUGGAGACCAGCAUCCUGAUGAUAUUCAAAGAUGAAUUUUGUAUAUAUAGGAUACAACUUGUUUUUUUUUUGUUCUCUAGUAAUGUUGCACUGUUCAAGAUUAUUUAGGUAACUACUUAACAACUUACGAUAUUGUUCACUGCUAUCUCGCUAACACUGAUUUGUUGCUAUCUUGUUUCUCUCCUAAUAGUACUUGUUUGCUGCUAUCACAUUAGUAAGGUGUUGGUGCAAAUAUUUUAUAUCCACAAAAUUACACUUCUUGGCAUCUGUGUAGUAUUGUGAUCAUAGUCACUGCUCUAAUAUUCAUUUCUUAUAUAUCUCAGUCCAUGAAACGCAUCACAGUCCAUGAACAAAAUGAAGGGUUUCAAUUUCAACUAUAAUCAGAGCUCGCAAUUCUCUUCGGUAUGUUGUUCGAGUUAGGGUAUGCGGUAUGAAACUACAAAGAAUUAGGUUUUGAAAAAAUUGCAAAGGUUUACCACUCGCCAUUAAAGUGCCUGCAACAUCAGUCAGAAAUAGGCCUUAUGGAUUGUGUGGCGAAAGAUAGGGCUCAUGUCUUAAUAGCAAGGAAAAAUGCAACUGAUGCAGACAAUUACAACCAUAAUAUUGUCCUUCAUGAUCCUGUUAAUAAAUUGGAAUUUACCAAAGAACCAAUUGAGCAGAGAAGAAGAAUGAUCAUUGACAUGAAUCAAGAUUUCCCAAUAUGAAGGAAGAUAGAGGUAGGAGAAGAAUGACGCCUCUCCAAAGAGAAAUGCACAUCAACAAUCGCAUAUAUUUACACAAUUUGAGGAAGCAGAGAUCAUUGUAGAUAUCUGCAUUAGAUUUGGAAGACAGAUAGAGAAAUCUAAAGUGAGGAGCAUUAUUCGGAAGACGACAACGACGUUUCAAUAAUUAUAGUGAAGGAGGCAAUUCGCGCUAAGAUAUAUAUUGAGCUAGCCAAGCCAAGAUAGAGGGUAUUGGGUUGGGAUUUUAGUUGUGUUAGUAGCUUUUGACUAUUUGUGUACUCAAAAAUGUGUCAUAUCUCAGUUUUUACUUGUAUUCAAGUUAACAUAUCAUGGUGUGGAAUUGUUCAAUCAAAGUUUCUUAGGAACUUAUUAUUUAAUACAGUUGGAAAAUUAAAGGUCCUUCUAAUUCUGA